rnacentral:misc_RNA from 1 species
GUGAAUCAUCGAAUCUUUGAACGCAAAUUGCACUCUCUGGUAUUCUGGGGAGUAUGCCUGUUUGAGGGUCAGUUCAAACUAAAAAUCGAGGUGUUGCUUUUUUUUGUGACGCAUCGGAAUUGGGUUAUCUUUUUCCUUUGGAUUUUUUAAGAGACCUAAAAUUGAUACAUUCUGCAUCUCAGACGUACAUAAAGAAUAUUUUUUUUUUAACCGUCCCGUCUUGCCAAUUU